rnacentral:rRNA from 1 species
AUUGAACGCUGGCGGCAUGCUUUAUACAUGCAAGUCGAACGAGUGGCGAACGGGUGAGUAAUAUAUCGGACCGUACCGAGUAAUGGGGGAUAACCAAUUGACAGUUUGGCUAAUAUCGCAUAUUAUUUUAGCGGCCGCUAACUGAUUAGCUAGUUGGUGGGGUAAAGGCCUACCAAGGCGACGAUCAGUAGCGGGUCUGAGAGGAUGAUCCGCCACACUGGGACUGAGACACGGCCCAGACUCCUACGGGAGGCAGCAGUGGGGAAUUUUGGACAAUGGGGGAAACCCUGAUCCAGCCAUGCCGCGUGAAUGAAGAAGGCCUUCGGGUUGUAAAGUACUGUUGUUAGGGAAGCGGUACCUAAAGAGAAAGCACCGGCUAACUACGUGCCAGCAGCCGCGGUAAUUC